rnacentral:tRNA from 1 species
GAGGGUGUAGCUCAGUGGCAGAUCGCACGUUUAGCAAGCAUGAGGUCCUGGGUUCAAUCCCCAGUACCUCCA